GGCCUGAUAGUAUAAUGGUAGCACACAGAGUUAGCAAACUCUGUAGCCUAGGUUCGAUUCCUAGUUGGGCUC